rnacentral:rRNA from 1 species
UGGGGAAUAUUGGACAAUGGGCGAAAGCCUGAUCCAGCCAUGCCGCGUGAGUGACGAAGGCCUUAGGGUUGUAAAGCUCUUUUGGCGGGGAAGAUAAUGACGGUACCCGCAGAAUAAGCUCCGGCUAACUUCGUGCCAGCAGCCGCGGUAAUACGAAGGGAGCUAGCGUUGUUCGGAAUCACUGGGCGUAAAGCGCACGUAGGCGGAUUGUUUAGUCAGGGGUGAAAUCCCGGGGCUCAACCUCGGAACUGCCUUUGAUACUGGCAAUCUCGAGUCCGAUAGAGGUGGGUGGAAUUCCUAGUGUAGAGGUGAAAUUCGUAGAUAUUAGGAAGAACACCGGUGGCGAAGGCGGCCCACUGGAUCGGUACUGACGCUGAGGUGCGAAAGCGUGGGGAGCAAACAGGAUUAGAUACCCCAGUAGUCCCUGAGCGGGCUGGCAAGGCGCAU